AUAUAUAUUAUAUAUAUAUAUAUAUAUAUAUAUAAUUAUAUAUAUAAUUAAUAUAUAUAUAUAUAUAUAUUAUAUAUAUAUUAUUACUAUUAUUACUGUAUUUAUGGCACUUAUGCGAUUAGCGUAAUAUGACAUGAGUAACGAUGUGAACAAAUUCUCGACAAUACUAUAUAUUGCCAAGUUCGCGAAAUAGAGCGAAAUUCGGUACUGUUAGCCUAUUAUAAGAGAUCACACGUAUCCAUGACGUUGAAAGCAGUUACGUUGAAUAUUCGUAGAGAAAGAAAAAAGGCGAAUCUUCUUACAUACACACAUACACACAUACAUACAUACAUAUAUAUACACAUAUACACGCGUCUAUAACCGAUAUUUAGAUCCCUCUGAACCUCAUCCGACUGCUUUCGACGGUUUCCUGUCUCUCUCUCAAAGUUUGUAGAAAACGCGCGAGAGAGUCUUAUUGUGCGUCGGCGACAGGCAUUUGUUACGGAAGUCGAUCACACUUUACGAAGCAGCUUGCGUCUGUGAUGGAACGCGCGUCCUCGCGGAGAAAGAUUUCCUUAAAGUGUCCUCCGACACAUAGUUUACCGCGAAACUAUAACGUGACAACGCAACAGAAGAACCGAAAAGAAAAGAAGAGAGAGAACAAUCGAACUAGUCCAAUUCCGACGUAGCACGUACCGGAAAUACGAUAUGAUAGAGGCAAAUCUUUCUGCACGCGGGCUGCGAAGAGAAACUUCUCGUAUCAGUAAUUAUCAACUAUCUACCCGUGAGUCAUAUCCUUGCCAUAUCGGAUAUCGUAACGAAGCGUAAUGAAAGUCUCGGAAACACAUUAACGAUUUCUGUACUUAAAUACUCCCGCGCAAUUUUCUGUAGACAGCGAAUGAGUGAGCGAGCGAGCGACUGACACGUUCGUGCAAACAAACAAUCGAUCAGCACAUUCCAUUUUUUAUGUAUUAUCACGUGUCGAACUGCACAGGAAGAGUGAAACUGUCGGCAUCGAAAUCGUAAAUUCGGAAUAUAUCAACCACAUAUCACACCAAGAUUAAUAACGCUGACACGAUCGUUAUUGCCAUCGCUGUCUACAGGAAGUAAACAUAGGUACGUGGUACCAUCCUAAA